CUGCUGCCUCCCGUAGGAGUCUGGGCCGUGUCUCAGUCCCAGUGUGGCCGUCCACCCUCUCAGGCCGGCUGCUGAUCGUCGCUUUGGUGGGCCGUUACCCCGCCAACUGGCUAAUCAGACGCGGGCCCAUCCUGUACCACCGGAGCUUUCAAAGGAUUACCAUGCGGUAUUCCCUAUUAUGCGGUAUUAGCACCUAUUUCUAAGUGUUAUCCCCCGGUACAGGGCAGGUUGCCCACGCGUUACUCACCCGUCCGCCACUAAGA
rnacentral:rRNA from 1 species